UACGUAGGGGGCGAGCGUUGUCCGGAGUUACUGGGCGUAAAGGGCAUGCAGGCGGUCGGACGCGUUUUGUGUGACAGCGGGUGGCUCAACUACCCGGGCAUGCGAAAGACGGUCGGACUUGAGGACUCGAGAGGGACACGGAAUUCCGGGUGGAGUGGUGAAAUGCGUAGAGAUCCGGAGGAACACCGAAGGCGAAGGCAGUGUCCUGGCGAGUGACUGACGCUGAGGUGCGAAAGCCAGGGGAGCGAACGGG
rnacentral:rRNA from 1 species